rnacentral:misc_RNA from 1 species
UACGGAGGAUGCAAGCGUUAUCCGGAAUCAUUGGGUUUAAAGGGUCCGUAGGCGGGCCAGUAAGUCAGUGGUGAAAGUCUGCAGCUUAACUGUAGAAUUGCCUUUGAUACUGCUGGUCUUGAAUGUGUAGGAAGUGGCUGGAAUGAGUGGUGUAGCGGUGAAAUGCAUAGAGAUCACUCAGAACACCAAUUGCGAAGGCAGGUCACUACUACAUCAUUGACGCUGAUGGACGAAAGCGUGGGGAGCGAACAGG